rnacentral:rRNA from 1 species
UACGGGGGAUGCGAGCGUUAUCCGGAUUUAUUGGGUUUAAAGGGAGCGUAGACGGCCGUUUAAGUCAGCUGUGAAAUGGUGCGGCUCAACCGUAGCACUGCAGUUGAAACUGGACGGCUUGAGUGCAGUUGAGGCAGGCGGAAUUCGUGGUGUAGCGGUGAAAUGCUUAGAUAUCACGAAGAACCCCGAUUGCGAAGGCAGCCUGCUAAGCUGCAACUGACGUUGAGGCUCGAAAGUGUGGGUAUCAAACAGG